rnacentral:rRNA from 1 species
UACGAAGGGGGCGAGCGUUGUUCGGAUUUACUGGGCGUAAAGGGCGCGCAGGCGGCCAUUCAAGUCAGGCGUGAAAGCCCAGGGCUCAACCCUGGAAUUGCCUUCGAUACUGAGAGUCUUGAGUUCGGAAGAGGUUGGUGGAACUGCGAGUGUAGAGGUGAAAUUCGUAGAUAUUCGCAAGAACACCAGUGGCGAAGGCGGCCAACUGGUCCGAUACUGACGCUGAGGCGCGAAAAGCGUGGGGGAGCAAACAGG